rnacentral:lncRNA from 1 species
GGCCUGUAGAUCUGACUUCAAAACGCUGACACGCCUCUUACUUUUCAAUACCAUUCGCAUAGUCUAAAGAUAACAGGGAGGCAUAAUACUUAAUUCAAUCUGGUCAUUUUAUUUUUGCCUAACUCUCCCCCAAAUUGCCAAGAUUUUUGUUGUGGGGGAGAAAGAAACAUUGAUGUGGAUAUUACCCAUUAAAAAUGAAUCUUAAACAAGAAUGAAAAGGUUAAAAUUGCACACAUUCUGGAACUGCCCUUCUGGAAGGAGAAAGAACGCAUCUCUAGGAAGAUGCGUUCAGGGCUGUCUGGCACUGCUGCUGCUGCUUCUCUGCACCACAAUCGCCCCACGCCCAAAUGACUCUAGCGAGGGAUCCCGGGGAUUGAGCCUCUGCAAGGAAGGUGUAGGUAGAGCCUGCACCGAUCCUGAGGGAGCGGCUGCGGGAUUCGGAAGCUGGCUGUCCCUUCCUCGUGGGAGCCUUGGCCAUGAGGAAUUUGGGCUCUUGGGGCGUGAAGUAACUUUCCUGAGGGGCAGUAAGUGGGAAGAUAAGGCUCAGAGCAGGGGCAGGCUUCAGAACCCAUGCUUACUGCUCUGGUUGUGUUGAGAGGAAGAGCACACUGCCAGGUCAUUUCCAGACUGACCGAGUCAGGACUGUGAGAGCCCUGGAGAACAGGACUGGCUGUGACUGACAGUGGGACACAACCCCGCUGAGCUCAGAGGACUUGAGAGAGGACUCCUGGUAGCCCACGAGCCGGGUGCCAGCAUCAUAGAAUCUUUUCUUCAGCCCUUCUCAACCUUUCUCUAAAUCACCCCAGGAUUGAAAAGGUCAGAGCUGAAGUAACUGGUGGCCUGGCCACACUGAGUCCACAGGGCCCCACACACGGGUGAAGGGUGUGUCUGUCUGUCUGUCAUAGGCUCUGCUAUGACGCCCUGUUACCUCUGACACUGGCACCUCUGUGUGGGGCCUCCCUCUGGCAUCUUUUAAUUUUAUUUUUUUAUUUUUUUGAGAUGGAGUCUCGUUUUGUUGUUCAGGCUGGAGUACAGUGGCACAAUCUUAGCUCACUGCAACUUCCACUUCCCAGGUUCAAGAGAUUCUCCUGCCUGUCUCCUGAGUAGCUGGGACUCCAGGCACACACCACCAUGCCCAGCUAGUUUUUGUAUUUUUUUUUUUUUGAUAGAGACAGGGUUUUGCCAUGUUGGCCAGGCUGGUCUCGAACUCCUGACAUCAAGUAAUCUGCCUGCCUCGGACUUCCAAAGUGCCGCGAUUACAGGUACGAGCCCCCCACGCCUGGCCAUCGGGCAUCUUUUAAGUGUUGACCUGCCUUCCCUCCUGCCCUGAGAGAGCCAGGAGAUUGGAGCCUUCCUGAGGAUGGGUGGAAAGGGGGCAGGCUUCUAGCUUUGAGUCACGGGGGCCCACCUGGACUCCUCUGCCAAUGGCCAGGCAAGGCCACCCUGCCUGCCCUCUGCCCUCCAGAUGGACAGAGCAACCACUCACUCUUAACAGGGACUUAGAGCUUUCACCUCUUUUCAGGAAACUGCUUUGUUCCCUCCUAUCUGCUUGGCUGAAGCCUACCUUAGCCAUGUUGGAAAGGUACGUCUUUCUUCUUAGUCUUUUGACAAAUAGAGUAACUUCUGUUAAGAACAACACACGUGGCCAUUAAUACAAUAACUUCAAGUUCUCAUGUGGGCAGUGGGGAAGAGAAGGUGCAUGUUUGGGGUAGGAAGGCACAGCUGGCUAAACUGCAACUUCCCCCACCCCCGUGUCUGCUGGCCCUCUCUGAGUGGCUAGAAGAUCCUGGCAGGGGACGCUUGGCUGAAAUGUCCUCAUGUGCCAGAAAAAUUAAGUAACCCCAGCAUCUGACAUGCGUGCUACUAUGAUCUGAAUGUGUCCCACACCCCAAAUUUCAUAUGUUGAACCUCACCCCCAUUGUGAUGGUGUUAGGAAGUGGGGCCUUGGGGAGGUGAUGAGGCCCCGAGUGUACAGUUCCCAUGAAGAGGAUUAGAGGCCCCAGAGAGACCCCUUGCCUCUUUCACCAUGUGAAGACAAAGCAAAAAGACAGCCAUCUGUGAACUAGUAAGCAGACCUUCCCCAGACACCCAUCUGCUGGUGCCUUGAUCUUGGACUUCCCAGCCUCCAGAACUAUAAGCAAUAAAUUUCAGUUGUUUAUAUACUGCCACCUAGUUGGUGGCAUUUUACUACAGCAGCCAGAUUGGACUAAGACCAGUACUCAAAGGAACAACCCCAACUUUCUCAUCCUACACUGCUUUCCUUGGAAAAUAAUCAAAGGAAAGGAAAGGAUGAAAAGGGAACGCAUAGAAACAGGUGUUCUCCUCUUGAACGCAUUCAUUCAUUUGACAAAUAUAUGGGAGAACACUCGUGCAGUGUUUGCUCAAUAACUAUUUGCUGGAUGGCUGCUGAGCUGAUGGACGGAAGAGGACAGCCCUUCCCUACAAAGGGCUCAUGCUCCAGAGGGUGGGUCACCAGAUAUGCAAACACAUCCCAAAAGCAGGCUAAGUGCUCCCAUGCGAUGUGCGAGCACAAGGAAGAAAGGGAGGCUGUCUGGAAGAAGGUAUUGAGGAAAGCUUCACUGCGAAGGUGACAUUUAAUCUGGGCUUUGACGCAUAGGUAGGAGAUAGCCAGGAGUAAUGGGGCAGGAGGCAGUCCAAGCAUAGAAAAUGGCAGGAAUAAGGGCCUUUUCUGGGGACAGCCUGUCUAGUGUUGCUGAAGAGCACUGUUGGGUCAUGGGAGUCCCUUGGGAGAUGGAGACAGGGAUGGGGCCAGAGGCCAAACUGUGAAUGACUGCACAGCAGUGGAGGAGAGUGGGCCAUCUGGGCAGUGGAGGCCAGGGAAGGUUGGUAAUUGAUUAAUUGCUGCUUUAGAAUGAUCACUGGGGGUGGAGGGAGUGUGGCUGGGGAGGGGGGUGGAAGAAGGAUGACCAACUAGGAAACCGCUGAAGUAGCCUACAGAAUGAAGAGACAGAGGCUUGAAUUCGGGCAGAUGUUAAAGGAGCACAGGAAAACUGGAGGGAGGCUCUGCUCCCCACUCCUUGGACCGCUUUUGCAGCAAGUCCCAGUCUCACCUUCUGCAACGUCCCUAAAAUUUCCAAGUGGGACAAACUGGAUCAGGGUACCCAGUGUUAGUAGUGAACACAGCUGGGGGCGUGGGGUCGGGAGGAGUGGCGAUUAGACAUGGUCCUAUGCUGUAGGCACUUUGAGAAGUCCCCUAUCUGCACUACCUAGGAGAUAAUUGCAAAGGAAGCAAGACUCAUAGAAAUGUGGGGAAAUAACUGGUGCCAGCUUGGUGACAAAAUGACCCUGACCUGGCAAGGAGGGUGGGACCCCGUAGGGAGUUCGAGAGCUGCAGGCAAUGAUAGCAAAACUUCACAAAGGCAAGAGGGAGAAAAUGGGUAUUUCCAGGAUGAUCCGACAGGGCAUGGCAGGUGCAGGCUGGCCUUUGAAGGAGCAUGGAGCUGCAGGGACACAAAGAGGAUAGAUUUAUAGGGAACUGGACCAGCUGACAGAGCAGUUCAGGCUCGCGCUUGGAAGCCACUGCAGGCCUUGAACAGAUAAAUAGCCUGGUGGAAGCAGCAUUCAGAGACUGCUGCCUGGCAGCCAGACAGAAGGGGAAAGCAUUCUAGAAACUCAGCAGAGAGAUGGUGCAAUUCAGGUGUGAGAAUGCCCUGGUGAAUAUCCACACCUAGAACACCUUGACCUGCCAAAAGUCCAUGUUAUUAUUCAAAAGAGAAAUAGCUUAAAAGGGUGUGGCUGGAUCAGCACAAAAAUCCAUCACCAGCACUAAAAGCCAGAAACCCUGAGCAGGCUGGGCCUUCCGGACUGUAGCUGAGUGCAUGGGGCAGCAGCUGAAAGCUACCACCCAGGGUGAAAGUCAGAUGCUUCAUCUACGCUUACAGAAUUUAUUUAUUUAUGUAUUUCUUUACUUUAAAAACAGGGUCUUGCUCCAUCACCCAGGCUGGAGUGCAGUGACAUGAUCAUGGCUCACUGUAGCCUUGACCUCCUGGGCUCAAGUGAUCUUCCCGCCUCAGCCUUCUGAGUAGCUAAGACCACAGGUGUGUGCCACCACACUCAGCUAAUUUUUAAAACUUUUUUGUGAGACAGGAUCUCACUAUGUUGCCCGGGCUGGUCUCAAACUCCUGGCCUCAAGCGAUCCUCCUGCCUCGGCCUUCCAAAGUGCUGGGAUUACAGGCAUGAGCCACUGUGCCAGCCCAGAAUUUAUUUUUUUCAUCGAAACCUACCUUUGAGUUUGGAGAUCUGCAAGAGGGCUGGAA